UGUCCAGACUCCUACGGGAGGCAGCAGUGAGGAAUAUUGGUCAAUGGGCGGGAGCCUGAACCAGCCAAGCCGCGUGAAGGAAGAAGGCGCCAGGCGUCGUAAACUUCUUUUGUCGGGGACGAAGAAAGUGACGGUACCUGAGGAAUAAGCCACGGCUAACUACGUGCCAGCAGCCGCGGUAAUACGUAGGUGGCAAGCGUUAUCCGGAUUUAUUGGGUGUAAAGGGCGUGUAGGCGGGAAUGCAAGUCAGAUGUGAAAACUAGGGGCUCAACCCAUAGCCUGCAUUUGAAACUGUAUUUCUUGAGUGCUGGAGAGGCAAUCGGAAUUCCGUGUGUAGCGGUGAAAUGCGUAGAUAUACGGAGGAACACCAGUGGCGAAGGCGGAUUGCUGGACAGUAACUGACGCUGAGGCGCGAAAGCGUGGGGAGCAAACAGGAUUAGAUACCCCAGUAACA
rnacentral:rRNA from 1 species